UAGGUUCUGAGAUGUACGCGUUAUCUCAUUCGUAUGGUUGACCGAACACUUAUAAUAUUGGUCUUUCAUAUCUUUAAUGGAAAGUAUAUUAUUUCACGUAAGAACUUGAAGUUAUUGCAAGAAGGACCACCUGCUUAAACGCGGGUUCAACUACAGAGAUGAUUAACGGCAUCAUCGGAGACAAA
rfam:Lactobacillus salivarius TCC118, complete genome.